rnacentral:lncRNA from 1 species
UGACUGAGACAGAUAUGGGUUGGUCCUUUUAGGGCUGACCCUGGAAAAAAAAAGUCAUAUCAGUCUUGACAUUAAUAUCGUAGUCAGAGUAGGUGAGAGAGGAGUAGAUUAGUAUAUAGGGUUCCCAGCCUUUCCAGUACAACCAUGGACUCAGAGUUGGGGAUACUAAAAAUGUACAUGAAGUUUAUGAUUUCACUGGUAGAGAUGGCCCACAGUGCCAGUUUGGACAGGCAUUACUCUAAACGUGGUGGGGAAGUCAGGAGACAUCUACUCCAAGGCAUAACCUCUAGGACAGUUUGUGGGGUAUCAGGGAAGGAUAUAUCAUUGGAAAGAUUUCUAGUUGCCAUACACAAAUAAUUGGGCUUCAGUUUAAUGCAGAAUUAACUGUUCUCAGUGUGUUAUUAGUUGGACAAUUGGAUUAUUACAUUAUUUACAUUAGUGUUUAUAGGUAAACUGAAAACAAAAAUGUGAGUAUAAUAUGAACUACCUCAAAGAUUUGUCUCUGCUUGAUAGUUUUAUUUCAAAUGUAUAUAUCAAAUGUUUCAUUACCCUUUUUUCAUUUUAUUUUUUAGCUUUCAAAACAAAUUAGCAAGAGGAGGAAAGAGGAGAGGGAGAAACUGUGCACACCACCAGAAUGUUAUAGUAGGCAAUAUCAUGAAAGCAAUGUUGGAACUUUAUACUCAGUUUCCUAGACUUUCCAUCACCACCAGUGAAUUCUGAGUGACAAUAGUGUGGAAUUUGGAAGAAUGGAAGAGAAACUGAAGUGGAGAGAUGGUGAAAGAGAAGAAAAAAUGAAGAAAGAUGCUUGCAAAAAUACUGCUGUGGGUCCUGAGAUGAGGAUUCUGGGAGGCUGAAAUGGAUGCCCCUGACAGCUCCCUUUGAGUUCCUGUUCAUCUGAAGUACAGCAGCCUUCUAGAUAUGCUGUUACUUUCCUUCUGCAGAGCCACAGUGGUGUCCUGUCUUCUCAGACCUCUUCUCACCUCAAAUCACUUAGGA